GCACUGUUUGGACGAGGGGCCCCUCUCGGGUUACCGAAUUCAGACAAACUCCGAAUGCCAAUUAAUUUAACUUGGGAGUCAGAACAUGGGUGAUAAGGUCCGUGUUCGAAAGGGAAACAGCCCAGACCACCAGCUAAGGUCCCAAAAUAUAUGUUAAGUGGAAAAGGAUGUGGCGUUGCCCAGACAACUAGGAUGUUGGCUUAGAAGCAGCCAUCAUUUAAAGAGUGCGUAAUAGCUCACUAGUCGAGUGACACUGCGCCGAAAAUGUACCGGGGCUAAACAUAUUACCGAAGCUGUGGAUUGUCCUUUGGACAAUGGUAGGAGAGCGUUCUAAGGGCGUUGAAGCAUGAUCGUAAGGACAUGUGGAGCGCUUAGAAGUGAGAAUGCCGGUGUGAGUAGCGAAAGACGGGUGAGAAUCCCGUCCACCGAUUGACUAAGGUUUCCAGAGGAAGGCUCGUCCGCUCUGGGUUAGUCGGGUCCUAAGCUGAGGCCGACAGGCGUAGGCGAUGGAUAACAGGUUGAUAUUCCUGUACCACCUAUAAUCGUUUUAAUCGAUGGGGGGACGCAGUAGGAUAGGCGAAGCGUGCGAUUGGAUUGCACGUCUAAGCAGUAAGGCUGAGUAUUAGGCAAAUCCGGUACUCGUUAAGGCUGAGC
rnacentral:rRNA from 1 species